rnacentral:tRNA from 1 species
GCCGGUUUAGCUCAGUGGUAGAGCACUUCCUUGGUAGGGAAGGGGUCGUCAGUCCAAUUCUGACAUCCGGCACCA